rnacentral:lncRNA from 1 species
GGAGGGGGGCGGGGAGGGCUACUGUACUCCAUACUUGUUCUAAUAAAACUUUUUAGAAAUCUCAAAAAGAUUAAGCUAAUCUACAUGAAAUUUAAAUGCUUGCUAGAACAAAGCACAAUGCUCUUUAAGGGAGCAAAACUAAAUCCAGACAAUCAAUACUGUAACACAAUGUUUAGCAACAUGCAAUAAAAAAAUUACUAGACACACAAGAAAUUAAGAAAAAACGUCCUUUCCAUGACCAGGAGAAAAAUGCAUCAACAGAAAGAGACCCAGAAGUGAGAGAGAUGAUAAAAAUUAGUGGACAAGGACUUUCAAACAGCUAUCAGUAGUUUAAGUAUGUGUAUAAAAACAUAAAUGCAAUGAGAGAAAUGGGAACUGUAAAAAAGAACUUAGUGAAACUUCUGAAGCAGAAAAAUAUAAUAUCCGAAGUGAAAAAAUUCACUAGAUAGUUGCAAUAACAGUUUGAUAUUGCAGAAGAAAAAGGUCAGUGAGCUUGAAUAGAACAGAGAGGAAAGUAUAGUCUUUUCAACCAUUAGUGCUGUAACAAUCAGACUGUAUUGAAAAAGACUAACUUUGGUUCCUACCCCUUACCACACGCAAAAAGUAAACUAGACACAGAUCACGGAACUAAAUGUAAAACCUAAAACAAUAAAAUUUUAUGGCCUGGCCAUAAUGGAUUUCUUAGACCAUAAAAAGUACUAACCAAAAAAGACCAAAUUGUUAGAUUUCCUCAAAAGCAAAAACUUUUGCUACUGACAAAGCACCAAUAAAAAAUAAGUCAAGUCAAAGAUUGAAAGAAAAUAUUCACAGUGAACAUCAUAGAGUUGUAUCUGGACUAUAAGAAGAACUUUUAUGACUCAAUAAUAUAAAGACAACUACAUUUUUAAGAGGAGCAAAAGAUUUGAACAUACACUUCACAGAAGAAUAUAAGGGUCAGUAAACACUAAAAGAUACUCAACAUCAUAGUCACCAUAGAAACGCAAUUUUAAACCACAAUGAGAUACCACUACACACCUACUAAAAUAGCUAAAAUGUAAAAAGGCAGAUAUUACCAAGAUUUGGAGAGGUUUUAGGAGUACUGGAAAUGUCAUACAUGGGUAGUGAGAGUGUAAAAUAGUAUAAACAUCUUAGAACACAAUUUGGUAGUUUCUUAUAAAGUUAAAGACAUGCUUAUCAUAUAACUCACCAACCCCUUUUCUAGGUAUCAGCCCAAGAAAAAUAAAAAACAUAUGUCUGCUACACAGACUGCUUGUCUACCUAUGUAUCAACACUUGUUGAACAUAAUGUGAAUGAAUCUCAAAAAUAUUUUGCUGAGUAAAAGUGCCCAAUCCCCAAAAACUACACAUCAUAUGACUCAAUUUGUUUGAAGAUCUAAAACAGUUGAAGAAACCGAAGCACAAAGAAUAACUUGUCCAAGAUCACAGAGUUUAGGAAGUAAGGAAGCAGGGCUUUGAGCUUUGCAUCAAGUGAUGACCCAUAAAUGCAAAUGGAAUACAACAGGAGUGGGUCCCUAAAGUCCCACCCAGAGAAUGCCCUUCUGCCAAAAAAUUUCGGAUUGAAACAGCAAAAACACCUAAGCAACUGAUAGUCAGGUGGUUCUCUGAUUUAAUUGUUUGAAAGCAGUCACUGGAAGCAAAGCUAUGUGACUCAGCUUUGGUGAUGUACUCCAGCUGGAGUCUGACAGGUAAAUAAUUACCACUAAUCAAAGCCUAGAUGAAUUCAGGUUCUUCAAAGUCAGAUGGGUGAGAAGGGGACAGGGAUUAUUAAUGAACUGUUAGGAAUAUCGGGAGAAAUAAGAGCAGGACAGUCUAGUCUCAGAUGAAAACAACAAAGAGAACAAUUAACAUCAGUAAGACCUCGGGUGCCAUGUGUAUUACAGCACAAAGAUCUUUGGCUGGGCUCCGUUAUUCCCCAUUCAGGCAUAAUUAGUUUGGGUCUCUUAGGAGCCUCUCUGGGUCUACGAAACUCAGUUGGAUGAUGAGCUAGGUCCUUCUCGGUUCUCACAGGGUAUAAUUGCAUGAUUUCCUUAAGCAGAAUUCAGAUUUCUUGACAUCAAGAGGGAAAAUCUCUUUCUCUUGCUUCUGCAUGAGUAAAUAUUGUUUAAAAUAAAAAUUAAGAAUGAACACAUUUGCUCCUUAAAAGCAAAUCAUAUGAGAUGAGUGCAUAUUAAGUGAACAAACUUAGAUGGGAGGGGGGACUAACCAUCCCUAGGGGGCCCACAGAUUUCAAUAGAAAUUUCCAUGGAGUUAUUAUGAAGGAUAACUUCCCUGAGGCUUUAGCCCCUGCAUGAUGGAUUCAAGAGCUUUACUUAAAAGUCAGCCUGUACUGGCUUGUAGAAAGCUUUCAGCCUCUUUUUGCAAGUCAUUUUUCAGCUUCCUGGUAAUGAACAAAACAGGUCUGAUAAUUUUCAAUAAUAAUCUCAGGAAAUGUGUGGUGUAGGACUGCAGCUUUCAAGCAGUUGACACAGAAAUCUAGUUCAGUCAGUGUGGAGAGUGGUGCCUGAAGACGCCUUCUGUGUUUUGGGAUCAGCCAGGAGCGCUGUAUCAGCCACAACAAGGAUAUAUUUUGACUGGUUUUCAUCAGUUUGACUUGAGUGGGUUUUUUUUUCUUUUUCUUUUUUUUUCUGCCUCUUGUAAAAGCAUUUGGCUCUGAAGCAGAAAAAGAGUUUUUUAGUUGUAAUUCAAAGUACUCUUAUUGUCUCAUAAAAUGUGAGCUGGAAGAUUUACCUUAUGGUUUGGCUGCUGGCUGGAAGUAAGAAGUAAGCAAGAGUCCAGUGCAUCAGGGGAAAAUAUUAAAUGACCCCUUAAGAUUCUCUUUAGCCUGAAAUUAUGGUCCGUACCCUUUUCACCCUGAGCAGAAUUCCCAACAGGCCCUUGAAUGAGGAGAUCUGGGAGAAACAUGCCUUCUUUGGUCAGAAUGAGCACCCCAAAUAUAAUAAUCCAAAAGAAAAAUAGCAACAUCUUAAGGAAAUGGUUUUGAAUGAGAUCUUCCAAGACACAAUAGUAUGUGCUGACUCAGGGAAACAAGGCGACAUGCUGAAAACAUUUGCAGGCCUGGAAAAUAACUGGUUUAAUAAUUCAAGAUGCUUUUAAGUUACACAAAACUACAAAAAAACAAAUAAACCUCCAUUCCCAAAGUGAUGUUAUAUGUGAGCCACUCGUGAAAUGAAAGAAACAGAGCUUAAAGUCUGAUGCAAAUUCAGCUUUGUGAAACUCUUAAACAACUGACAAAGAAAUUUACCACCCCACACCACAUCCCAAAUGGACUAAUGGAAAUAUUCUUUUCAUGACUUCAAAAUAUUUAGAUGAAAAGUGAAAUAUUUAGUCAAUACCCUAGAUGUAUUUUCAUCUGGGUAUCAUGCAUCUGAGUGUUUCCAAGGGGAUUUUCCAAGUGUUCCUAGGAUAUACAUCAGGGUGUCUCAACCCUGGCACUAGUAGCACUAGUAAUGCUUUGGACUGGAUAAUUCUUUGUUGAGGGAGUUGUCUCCUGCAAGGUGGGAUAUUUAGCAGCAUUUUUAGUUUCUACUCAUGAGACACCAGUAGCACUCCCCAAGUUGUGACAACCAAAAAUGUCUCCAGAUAUUGCUAAAUGCAAAAUUGCCAGGAGCUAAGAAUAUACUUCAUUUUUACUCAUUAAAUCCCAAAUGCAUCCUAUGAAAUACUGUUUCUGUUAUGAUCCUAUUUGUUCCAACUUUAUAAAUAACUAAAUGUGGCUUAGAAUGCAUUAAGUGACCUGUUUGAUUUCACAGUCUACUAAAGACAGGACUUCAACAGAGCCUACACUCUUUGUCCUAACACUGUAGGCACACACAAUUUGACUUAAACAAUACUGUAGAUGCUCUAUGGUCUAAGAGUUCCAAACAUACAGAAAUAAACACUUUCUUCAAAGAAUCACAGAAUGACUCUAUUCAAAUGUCUUCUCAGUUCAAAGAUGUACAUUGGAAGUCAGGAAGGACCACACAGUUGUCCAUGCCUGGAUGUGGGUAGCUGAGCCAUAUGUAAUUGCUUCAAUUUGCUGCUUAUUACUUGUACAUUCUUUCAGUUACCUGAGUGGAUAGCUAAGUCUAAAGAGCCCAUCAGAUCCAUCAUAAAGCAGAUGGUGUAAACACUAGUUGACAGUAAACAUAUUGUGACAAUGGAAAGGGAAGAGAAUUUGUGAGAUAAACAUGCCUAAGGUUUUCUGUUUACUAGCCCUGGAAAUUUUUGAAAAUUAACUUAUUUUAGCUUCUCAUUCCUUUAUCUGAAAAAGAAUAAUUGUAGCUAUCUUACAAGGUUGUUGUAAGAAGCUAGUACAUGCAAAGCCCAUGAUAUAGAACUUGGUAUGUAAUAGGCACUUGAUAUAUGGCAGCCAUUAUUGUGAUUCAUUUAAUGGCUAUGAGACACAACAGGAGAUCCCUCUAUUUUCAUGAGAUGAUUGGUGGAGGAGAGGAACCUGAUAAUGUUUACUGAGCUUUUACUACAUGCCAAGCAAGCACUGUACCAAGUGCUUUACAUGAAUUAUUGGAUUUCAUUCAUGAAGUUGAUUCCUUGCUGAUUAUAUUAAGCACUCUUUCUUUUGGUUUGUUUACUUAUCUACUAUCUGUCUUACUUACUUACAGGAGGGCAAGGAGCAUGUCUGUUUUAUUCUCUGCUAUAUACCAGUGCCUUAUACCUCAAUCAAUGUUUGCUGAAUUAAUAAAUUAAUGAAUCUGUGAAAGAAAGGAUGAGCCCUCUAGAAAUGAUCUUUGACUCUCUUCUAUCAAGUGCUCUUGAUUCUUUCACAAGCAGCAUUUCUGGGAUGCAUUCAUUUCUUUAUCAUUCCUACAGCCAUAGGCCUGCUCCUGACUGUCACGGCCUUAAGUCUGGACUGUGGCAGCCACAUCGUAAUUCUUAUGUGGUUCUAGCUUCUUCUCACUCCCAGCCAAGCUCCUCACUGCUGCCAGGGUAAUAUUCCUCCCACACCCUCAUCAAGAAGCCUCGCAUGGAUCAUUGUCAUGGACUAGGUCCAGACAAGCAUCUUCCACUCAGAACCAAAACCUUUCAUGAUGGACCCCAGCUUUCCCUAACCCACCUCACCUUCUACCAUUUACCAAUCCCGCCAUUUAUUUGGUGUAUAGUUUAUUAGCUGCCUCUCAGUACAAGGUACUGUGUCCUAGGUACACUUCAAUCAAACAUGCUUCCUGUCCUAUAGAGCAUAAAAUAUAUUUGGGGAGAAAAGCAUAAAAACAAUUGCAACACGGUAUCAAUCCAUUUGAAAGGAGCUGUACAGGGUGCAAGGUAGGUUCCUGGGAAUGUCUGUAACCCACACUUGGGAGAUCAGAGAAAGCUUCCCAGAGGAGAAAAGAUAUCACCUGACAUCCAAAAGAGCUUUGCUAGAAAAAUAGCACAGAGAGAAUACAUGUGUUAACCCUUGAGAGGAAUGAGUAUGGCUCUCUCAAACUGAAAAAAGUUAUUAUCUGGAGAGUAGAGUGUGAAGUAGGUGGAGGAGAGGAGAGGAAUGACAGAUGCUUUGAAGGAGUGAGUGCCAGUCACAGAGAGGGGCUGUUACCUACUUGAACUCUACUCUGAAGACAAUGAGAGAUCACAAAGCAAUUUUGAAUAGGUUGAGAUGUUAUUGCUUGAGAUUAAAAGGGGAUGGUACUGCAAUGGACACUUAAAUAAGUUACCAUUUCUUCCUUAUAAAAUAUAGGCUUAUAAAACAAAUUCACACUCUGGUUCCAGAGCUGUAAAGGAAAUGUCAACUACAGUGUAGAAAGGUGAUUUUGGCCUUGGAGCCUGGGAGAGAUCUGAAGAGCCCACACUCAGGUCUUGCCUGAGCUCUGUCAACAACUUUGGUUCUGCUCUGUGCCUCGGCUUCCUCAUCUGUCAAAUAACAGGGAUUAACUGACUAUAUGACCUCCCAGGCCUCUCCCAGCUCCUCCCUUCUCUGAAUCCUGGCCAGUGGUCAUAAGGCUGAAGAUUUGCUAAGAGUCACCCUUGAGGAGCUUGUUAAACUCACUCUCCAAAACGCAGGUAUUGUAAAUGCUGACAUUAAAAAAAAAAAAAAAAAAAAAAAAAGGUACUCCAGGUGAAUCUCAGGCAGGGAGGGAUUCCUCAGACAAAGCUUUGAGAAACUAUGAGAAAAAUGAGUCUCUUCAUUGAAACAGGAAUGAAGCCUGGGAAGGGCCCACUCCUUCAGGCAUUGGCCUGUGAAUCAUCAAAAGGAGACUCAAUCCCGCAAUUAAACCCUUAGAACGUAGAAGCCAAAUAAGAAUAGAUCAUCUCAAGGAAUUGAAAUGGACAGAAUAAAAAUCUCCCCUUAGUGCUGUAGUGCUGUGCCCUGCCCCGUGCCAAGCACUUGAUCCUCAUUACUGCCUGUUAGUCACAGCCUGCUGCAUGGGCAGAUGGGCUGCAUGGUCAGGUUCUGAAGCUAGGGGGCACAACCAGGGAGCAAGGACGCCUUUGGCCUUUGUGGUGAGGCGCAUGCAUCACAAAUGAUGACAGGCUUUGGUUAGCUUUUCUAACAUCCCAUCAUUUGUUCAUUGAUGUUUCCGCCACAUAUAGAACAGGUUUGCCCUUUGCUUUCAUGUUGCUUCCCUAACAUCUUUUCAUUUUAACCGAAACAACUAACAUGUCAAGAUAUUACCAUAAUAUAUGAUUGAAAAUAUGCCACUUUUUGAGAACGUGCUCAAGGGAAUCUCCCACAUUCCCUUUGCCUUCCAGCUAUGCCAUGAAGUAGGUAAUAUCAAAAUCGAAUGCUUCUAAGAAUUCAUCUAUGGAAAUCUUUGCAGGAAAUAAUCCAUCAACCUUUGAGAUAGGCAGGCCUUUAAAACCAGGGUGAUUCCCUGCAUACAAAACCAUAACUAAUGGCAAAUUAGAAUAAGCCUAACAUCCGGUACUCUCGAUCAACAAGAAAAAAAAAAUGGAACCUAAGGAGAAUAAGAUUUCAAAGGCGAAGUGCAGAUUCAGAAUUAACCAAGGAAAUAGGUGUUCUGACAUUAAGAAAUAUUUCUUGUUGUCACCGUCAGAAUAUUUUUGACAUUGAGGAGAUGACACAAGAGCCUAAACAGGAUGAGAAUACUGAGCUUUUAAGCAGCAUUUGCCUUGAUUUUUACUUUAAAUUCACUGGACCCUUCUGCUGCAAAGAUCAAUUUUCCAGAGGGAACUUAUUCACCAAGAUCCAGUACUAAUUACUUUGUCAGUGUAACUCCCAUGGAGAAGAAAGCUCAUAUCUUAGAGGACAGGGCAGCAUAAGUGGGGCAAAAUGGACUUCGGAGGCAGGCAGACCUGGAUUUGAAUGCUCGCUCCACCACUCUCUAGCUGUGUGUCUUUGUCAAGUUGCAAAACUUCCCAAAGCCUAUGCUUCCUCAGCUGUAAUGGGAAUAACAACCAGGAAUUUAAAAAUGUAUUAUAAGAAUGAGAGGCCGGGCACAGUGCUUCAUGCCUGUAAUCCCAGCGCUUUGGGAAGCCGAGGCGGAUGGAUCACUUGAGGCCAGGAGUUAAGACCAGCCUGGCCAACAUGGUGAAACCCCGUCUUUAUUAAAAAUACAAAAAUUAGCCAGGUGUGGUGGCAUGCACCUGUAAUCCCAGCUACUUGGGAGGUUGAGACAUGAGAAUCACUUGAACCUGGGAGGUAGAUGUUGCAGUGAGACGAGAUCACGCCACUGCAUGCCUCUACAACCUCCAACUCAGAGGCCUGUUAGAAAAUGAGCUUCUGAACCUGGAAAACUGUGCACUGUUCUACAGACUCAGCCAAAACAGGCCACGUGUCUCAACAAUCUCCACAGUAGUACAAAGGUUUCCUUACAGUUUAGUAGCAGGCAUUGUUUAAUGCAGGGAUUUUCAACAUUCUAUUGCCAAAAAUUCCAUUAAAUCAUGUUUUUGAAGCUCUUGCAUACAAAAUAGGUGAUAUUUAUUCAACAAAUUAUUGUUUCACUUCUUAUUAAUCUAAGGUAUAAAAAAUUUUCCCAUAGAGGUUUUGAAUGAACACCAUUCAUUCAUCAGUAAAUGUCUAUGCAGUACUAUGUGUGAUAUGCUGGGGACACAAUGCUGACAGAGACCUGAUUCCUGCUCGCAGUUUGUUGGGAAGAUGGACAAGUGAAAGCCAUGACAGUGAGAAAGAGCCGUGACAAGGCAAGUGCAGAGUGUUAAGGGAGUCUAUGGAAGAGGCAUUGCCUGUGACUUGGAGAGUUAGGAAUGACUUUCUGGAGGAAGUACCUCAGUCCCAGGACUUGAAGGAUAAGUGAGAGAGAGCCAAGAAAGACAACACAGGGAGAAAGCUUUGGGCAAAGGGAACGAUGUGUGCAAGUCUUUGGGAUGAGUGAACAAGCUGAAUUCCAUAAAGGAAACAUUUUUGGUAUGGCUGAAGUGUGACCUUCCCAACACAUUUAGUCCUGCGCUGCCUCACGUUGGUCAAGUGGUUGAUUUCAAUUACGCUUUUCGCGAGUAUCUUCCAGAUCACUGCCUCCCUCACAGAUCCUCCAGGAUUUGUAGAAUCCCAGCUGAGAAUAGUCAAGGGCUUUGGUCCAAACAAAUCAAGCUAAUUUCCCAACUCCACCGUUGAGUGUCUACACCGCCUUGGGCAGUGCGCUUAUUUUUGAGUCUCAAUUUCCACAUCUAUGAAUGAAAGAAUAAUAUCUAGCUUGUCGAGUAGUUGGGACCAUUAAAUAUAUUGAUGACUCUCUACCGAGGUACCUAAUGGAUUCCUUGACACACAGUAGGCACUCAAUAAAUCACAACCAUCCCAUUAGCCACCAGUGAGAGCUGAAUUCUGUAAACUUCCAACUGGCAAAUGCUGAUAUGGUUAAUGGCUGCAGUAAAAACCCAGGUGUAUCAAAUUUAGUUUUCGGUUUUUGAAGACAAAAAUCUUCAAUAAUUAUACACUGACAAUUCUCGCUACUUUUGAUUACUAUGACCCAGAUACCGUGGAAAGCAUUUAUAUUAAACUUUUAUUUAACCCUUACAACCAUGCUAUGAGAUCAUUUGUAUUUCUACAAAAGAAAAAGCCUCUUGAUCUUAACUACAUUUUCACAUUUGGAGUUAAACAGUUUCAUUUCCUGCACAAGUUCCCAGGGACUUUAAUCUGAAAAUAUGCAUUAUCAAAUCUAAGAUAGAGGAAAACAGUCUAAAGGGUUUUCCAGAUGUAUUUGACAAUUAAAUCUCAUUUUGAUUGGAUGUAAAUUAAAAUUUCAUUGAGAUGUACUUUGUAAAAUGCUAAAAUAUUAUCAGCACUAUUUUAUACCUGAGAAAACUGGGCCUCAGAGAAGUUAAGCAACUUUCCUAUUGUCAAACAGCUAAUAAGCGGGAGGGAUUAUGAUUUGAAACCAGGUCUUUCUCGCUCCAAAAACAUACACUUGGCCACUGGACAAUUAUUUUAACAGAACUCCAAUUCUUAGAAGAUAUGUAACGUACAAAGCUAUAGGUUGUUACACUACAACCCUAACAAUUCUGGAUAGAACAGUCCGAACAAAAACCAAAAAAACACCUCCGCAUACCAAGUCAGGAGUCUCAGUCUUAAAAGACAGCACCCACUCCCAAUACAGGAAAACAGCCAAAAAAAAAAAAAAAAAAAGCCACUGUGUUUCCAUACGACCAACGUUUUCCUGAUGUCAGGUAACUGAGACCUUCACACUACACUCAGCCCUACACCUACCUUACUGCUUCUCACCGUAGACUAGUCUGCUGGCCCCGCAUCUCAAAACCCCGGCUCCACCUAUAGUGGCCCAUACCUUUCCCUAUUUUAGUGGUGCUUAGUGACAGCUCGCAUCUGGUUUUUCCCUCAGCAAAGGCAACUGCAGCUCACUGCUGAGAAUAUUACUAAAGCAAAUAAUUCAUUUAGCCCAAACCUAAUAAUCCCUCCUCAAAACUCAGAGAAUAUGAAAAAGAAUUGCCCCUUCUAGUUCCCUCGGCAUUAUGGGAACAAGCAAGACUUUCAUUUACUUCAGCAGUCCAUAUGUUUGAAGGUCAAACAACACCUGGGUAUUUCUUUGAAAUGAACUAAUUGAGCCUGGAUGAUUUAGAGUUAGUCUUGCUGAAAGACUCACUGGAUCUCCAAUGGUAACCCAAAACCUGCUUUUGAAAACUCUGGAUUCCUCCAACCCCAGCUUUAUCAAAUGGCAAAGAAUAUUUGAUGCUGUUCAAAGAUUAAGGCCUGGAUCAAACUGAGUAAAAAGAAAGAGAAAGGAUUGCUUUCAAACUACUAUGAAAAAGAGCCUUGGCCCCAGGUGUUCAGAGUGGUAAAGAAAUCAGAGCCAGCCAAAGGGAAAUCAGGCAGAGGGCCUAGAAAGGAAUAGUUUUCAAAUGCUAAGUGUGCAUAGAGAGCAACUGGGAGGCAUCUUGACAAUGCAGGCUUCCCACCUGGUUUUUCCCUUGUAUUCCUCCCCACUUCCUUUUUUUUUUUUUUUUUUUUUUGAGACAGGGUCUCGUUUGGUCACCCAGGCUGGAGUGCGGUGGCACAACCAUAGCUCACUGCAGUUUCAACCUCUUGGGCUCAAACAAUCCUCCCACCUCAGCCUCCCAAAUAGCUGGGACUACAGGUGUGUGCCACCAUGCCCAGCUAAUUUUUGUAAUUUUUUUUUGUGGAGACGAGGUUUCUCCUUUCCCAAGCCUAAACUCCUGAGCUCAAGUAAUCCACUUGCUUUGGCUUCUUAAAGUGCUGGGAUUACAGGCGUCAUAUGGUUUGGCUGUGUCCCCACCCAAAUCUCAUCUUGAAUUGUAGCUCCCAUAAUUCCCAUGUGUUGUAGGAGGGACCUGGUGGGAGAUACUUGAUUCAUGGGGGCAGUUUCCCCCAUAGUGUUCAUGUGGUAGUGAAUAAGUGUGGUAGUGAAUUCAUGUGGUAGUGAAUAAGUCUCAUGAGAUCCAACGAUUUUAUAAGGGGAAUCCCCUUUUGCCUCACUUCUCUCUUGCCUGCCACCAUGUAAGAUAUGCCUUUCACCUUCUCCCAUGAUUGUGAGGCUUCCCCAGCCACGUGUAACUGUGAGUCCAUUAAACCUCUUUUUCUUUAUAAAUUACCCAGUCUCGGAUAUGUCUUUAUCAGCAGCAUGAAAAUGGUCUAAUAAAAGGUGUGAGCCACUGCUCUCAGCACUGUUCCCCUUUUAGCUAGUUUUCAUGGAAACCUCGUUCAUAGGAACACACCAAAUUAACACAUACAGAGACCAGUUUGAUUCAGAUUGGGAGAAACGCAUCGACUUCACCUAAUUGUUUGCAUCACAUGCUGCCAUGAACACCAAUUGGUUAGUUUGGUUUAUGUCAGGUGACUUCUAUCUGAAAGCCAAAGGUGGUCUCAAGGUGGAAAAUCCCCUCUUUGCCUAUUGGUCCUCCAGUUUCACAAACACAUAGGACCUUGUAUUUGUCUGUAUCGUUUUCACUGGCACUGUGGUGAAGUAUUUCCCCAUUGGACUAUUAAUAUCUUAUUCUGCACUUGACUGUGAACUUCAUGUGGAUCCCUGCCCAUCUUGGUCAUAACUGCAUUAAUAACUGAAUAAAUCAUAACUGAAUUAUUAAUAGUCAUAACUGAAUUAAUAAACGAAUGGCAUUAGAAACCAGUGACUGGGCUAACAAGAGCUCUCUGGGGCAAAUACAUUGGGUGAUACAUAAUUUUUUUAAAAAAUGGAGAAAAUGUACAACCAUUUAUUUUCAUCUUAUAAUUUUAAAAUGUACAUAUUUACCAAGAAUUAUACUGUUUGGUUUCAACCACACUCAACCAUUAUGAUUGAGGGAGAGUAUGGAAACUGAAAUAAUAACAAUAGAGUAUAAUAAUAAUAAUGCUCAGAGCUAAGAUUUAUGAAGGACUUGUGUGUCUGGCCCUGUGCUAGGUUUUGCUUAUGUAUUACCUCAUAUAAUUGCCUCAACCAGUCUAUGAGGUAGGUAUCUCCACUUUACAAAAUGAGGGGACUGGGAGCUGCCCAUGAGGAUUCCAAUAUGCCUGUGCUCUCAAACAGUAUGCAGAGACUAUACAGGAAGGUUCAUUCAUUCAUUCAUUCAACAAAUAUCUGAGUAUGUACUAUUACUAUCCUAGAACAAAAUAGUGCAGAUAAUAAACAAAAACACAUACCAUCUCAAUUCUUUUGGUGUUUAUAGUAUAGUAGGGGAGAUAGAUGUUAAUCAAUAACCACACAAAAAUGACAAAUACACAGCUGUUUUAAGUGUUAUAAAGGAGCAAUAUAUAUCAUUAGGAGAAAUUGGUCCUAGGCAGCUUUAUUGAGCUGAGACCUGAGGGAGGAGUAGAUGUUAACCAGAGAAGGAGAAGAAGGAGAAGUGUUCAAGGAAAAAGGAAGAGCUGUGCAAAGGCCCUGUGGUAGGAGGAAAUGUAUGCUUGAUGAGGGAAUAAAAGCAAGCUAUGAGAGUCUGGAACGUGAGAGCAAGAGACUGUAUAUAGCCAGAAAGGUAGGUGGGCCCUAGAGCAGUGGUUUUCAGACUUGAGUAUAUACAUCAGAAUCACUUGGAAGGCUUGUGAAAACACAAUCUGUUGGACCCCUUCCCCAGAGUUUCUGACUCAGCAGAUCUAAAGUGAGACGUAAGAUGUUGAAUUUCAAAACACACUACUGGGUGAUGCUGAUGGAUUCCAAGACUACACUUUGAGAACCACUGCCCUAGACUAGGUAGCACCUGGUGAGCUAUGGGGCCGAUUUCUGACUGUGUCCUAAGAAGAAUGAAAAAUAAUGGGAGGAUUCUAAGCUCGGGAGUGACAUGAUGCAAUUUACAUUUUGAAAAAUGCAGGGUAGAGACAAGAUGGUAGAGAGGCCAGGGUGGAUGCAGGUAGAUCAGCCCAAGGGUAAGCUGCAGUGCUCAGAAAAGACACCACUGUGGCAUGGCCUAAGGUGAUGGCCAAGGAGGUAGACAGAGGUAGGUGGAUUCAAGAGAGAUUUAGUCGGUGAAAUCAGUAGAACUUGGUGAUGAAUAAGGGGGUUAAGGGAGAGAUUAGCUGUUUGGCUUCUGCGUGAGCAAGUAGACAGAACAGUGGUGUUGUUCAGCGAGAGAGACCCUGGAAGAGGACCAGGCCUGGGAGAGAAGAUCAUGAGCUCAGUCCUGGACAUGCUGAACGCAAGGUACCUUCAAGGCAUUCAAAAGAUGGUAAGUAGACAGUUGAUAUAUGGGUCUGGAGUUAAGGGCAAGAUCAAGACUGGAGAUAAAACCAUGAGUCAUCUGAGUAUAUAUGCAACUUGAAACCACAGGGGUGGAUGAGAUCACUGGGUAGAGAAAUUAGAGUAAGAAGAGAGGGCCUAGGACCUCCAACAGCUAAUGGCUGGGUAAAAGAAAAAGAACCUACAAAGGAGGACAAGGAACACUAGGAAAAUAAACAGAGAGAAUUGUGCCCAGAAAUCAGGGAAAGGGAAGAAACAGUAGGCAAUAGUACCAGUGAUGCUCAGAUGACAACUAAGAUGAAGACUAAAGAAUGUCUGUUUAGGAAUGUGGAGGUAACCAUGGUGAGAGGUAAUUUGGUGAAGAAGGAGAGGAGAAGUUGGGAGUUUAGCAAUGUGGAGGUAACCAUGGUGAGAGGUAAUUUGGUGAAGAAGCAGAGGAGAAGUUGGGACUAGGCCACCACUGACAUUGGGGGAAGAGAGUGUUUAAUCUCCAACCUUCACUUAGUAUUAUUUUCAAUAUCCUUCCCUCCCAGUUAUAGCCCAAACACGUUAUUUUCCCUCCCUAUUCACUGCCAAAUGAAUCAGAAGUUCACUCUCCUUUUUUUUUUUUACCUCCCACUUACUCUUCCUGCAACUCUAAUUUGAAUUAUGGCCUACGAAUAUUUUUACUAAAUAUUACAAUUUAUCUAUUUUUUAUUUGUUUCAACACACAGAAGAGUUGCAAAAAUUUACCUGCUCUUAACAAGAAACAUAUCAUCUCUGAUUUGUCACUAAAGGAGAUCUCAAGAAUAUGAGGCUGUAGGUCCUGAUCUUAUUUCUCUCACUGGCCAAUUAACUUUGCAGAAUGGGCAAUCAUGGGACUAUUUACUGACUAGACCAGAGUAAUGUAAAGGCAAUGUAAAGUUAAAGAUCUCACAAGUCCUUUACUUAUGUGAGAAGUCUGCCUAAGUGGGAAAACAAUUUACUUUUCUAGUGCAAAUCACUCUCUGCUCGACAGCAAAUUUAGAAUCUGGAAUUCAGAGCCGGUUAAAUCAGGACACAAACCUUGGAUUUGUAAAUUUCCACUGGUGCAAACUUGGACAAGAUACUCAAUAUCUCUGAGGCUUAUUUUUUAAUUUAUGAUUUAAAAAGCAUAACAAUACAUACCUUAAAAUAUAGUUGUAAAGUAUUAACUGCUCAGCAUACUUUGUGUUAAACAAUUCCAUUAUAACAGAGUCACUCUAGUGGUGCUCAAGCAACCACAAAGGAGAAUAAGAAACAGUCAUACAAGAAAGCAUGUUUUCUAAAUAAUAUCCUUAAAUCCUGAAUAAUUUGUUUGGGCUUUUCUAUAUUAGCCCCUUUAAAACACUUUUAAAUCUAUUACACUUUCAAAUUCAUUCACCAUGAAUUGUGCCCUCUUCAACCAUUAUUGAACUCAUCCAAAAAGGGGUUUGUUGAAGGUGCUUUUCAAAAUUCAAUACUCAUUUCAGGUAAACGUUUAUUUUUUAAAACAAUUUUUAAUUAAGUAAAAUUAAAUACUCCAAAGUUUUUACUAUUUAAUUUCUGUUUAAAUAAAAAUAAGAAAUCAGGUGGUUAUAAAACAAGAGAGAAAUACAUGAAUGGAACUAGUUGAUUUAAUUUAGCGUUGUGCAAAUAAAACAACCAUAUGAAAAAAACAGCAAGGAAAUCAUGGCCUAACACAGUUCCCUAGGGAAAAGAAGCAGAAUAGACAAUGGAAAUGUAUACCAUUCAUUCAUUUUUUCAUUCAUUAAAUCAGUUCUGAAUACUUAGUAAAAGGCCCAGGGCUAGGAUCAAAACCAAAAUAAAUAGCUUUCGUUGUUGAUUUUGAAUUUCCAUCUUGCCAGGUACAGCCUUGACUCAUUGUUGAAAGUAGUUGUAGAGCCAGCAGGUUGGAUGCCAAGGAGAAGAGAAGAGGUGUGCUUUAUGUAUGGGUUCCAUGGAGCUCCACUGGCACAAUCAGUUAGUGCACGGUCCUUACAUGUAUGGAUUCUCUGCAAUUUGCUACAAGAAAAACAAAUAAUUACUGCAUCAAAAUUUCCACAUUGAGUUUACCUGCCUAUGUCCAAGCCAACGGCAAGAGAAAUGCCAUUCAGAAAAAGUUCUCCAUCCAGUAGCAUCAUUGAUCAACUCACCAAAAUAGUAAUAAUACUAAUGAUGACCACGAUGAUGAUUGUGAUGGUGAUGUUAUGAGUCUUUACCUAGUAUUUAAAAGCAAUGCACAUGUAUUUACCUGUGUUAUCUCUUUCUCCCUGGCAAAAACCUCAGGGUAGGAAGACUAUUAUAAUCUCCAUUUUGUAGACAAGGAAACUGAAGAUAGGAUAGGUUAAGGAAUUUGUUCAAGGUCACACCAGUAUAAGUGGAAGGAUAAGACCUAAAAGUAUUUUUUCUAUGGUGUUGCUCCCAUUUUAAAAUUAAAUUGCUUUUGGCUCCAAAAUAAAUAUCCCAAUUUGUAGAUUUUUAAAAUUCUAUAUCCUUAUUUGCUCUACCAAAGGACUCUUUGAUGGUCAUAAUAAUCGCUACAAAUCAGGGUUAAAACUACAUUUCUCCCCCCAGCGUACCCCCUUUUCUGAUCUACUCAGCAAAGCAGCUCAGUUUUCAUCCUAGAAAACUAGCCUUCCCCAACACCUCUCCUGGCAGGGAAGCCCCAUCUGAUAGACCCUUGAGCGCUUUCUGUAAAUUAAUCACUCUGGAUCCUGAAGCUCAGCAAAACUUUCUUAGUCUAACCCAAGAGCAGUAACUAUUUCUCGCACCAAAAGAAUGCUCUCCCUCACUGCCAUAAAGGCCUCUGAGAAUAGCCAAAAGGAAAUGGCAGGACUGCUAUUUACUCUGAGGUCAUCUAUAGCACUGGUGGCCUGUAGACCUGAGCAGAAAGGAUAUUCCUUCAUUGGGGUAAGAUUUUCUAGCCACAGACUUUUUGUUUUUUUGUGACAAUUUUUUUUUCAAGGACAGUAUCAUCUUCUUUAAGGAAGUUUUUGCCUUUCAUGGGUCAUUUCGAAUUUUUGCUGAGACACAGCCUUGGCUAGCUCAGCAUCAGAUCCCUGUACCAUCUGGGGGGUUAUUUUUUAAAUAUAAGAUCUAAUCAUUUUAUGCUAAGGGGCUAUAUUCUUUGUGAAAUUCUAAAGGCCAGUAAAACCACAAAGAUCCUACUUUUCAUUCAGCAUAGGUUGCUGUGUCUUUAAACCAAAGGUAUUCCUAGUUCGAAAUGGAAUAAACUUUUGAGAGCACUUAUUAUAUUCAGCCUCUGUGCUUAAAGGUAAUAUAUAUAAACUAUUGCUUUUAUAAUCCCUACACGAACUCUUGAAUGUGAGAAUUAUUGUGAAUUCCAUUUUACUGAUGAGAGCAUGGUUAAGUAACUUGCUCCAAAUAUUGACAAUUUUUGAAGCUAGUGAUGGGUACACAGAAGAUCACUGAGUUAUUUUCUCUAAUUUUGUUUAUGUUUAAAAUUGUUGAUAAUACGAUGUUGUCAUUGUUGUUGCUUUUAUAGUAACUUUCCAGAAGACCCCUAGUUCAUGAGUAGAGUCUGGGGUUUUAAACCCAAAUCUAUUAGCCUGCAAAGCCCAAGCUCUUAAACAUGACCAUACUGUUGAAUAUUGCCCAGUUGACAGUUUUAGCCAACGUCUACCUGAUGCCAAAACAGCUUCCUAGAAAACCAAAACCCAAACCAAAGUCAGUCUAUUUGAUGUACUCAGCAGCAGGCAACCAUCCUGAAAUGAUUCUUAGAUCAAAAUUCUUGAGUAUAUCGAAUUACAAAAAGCAUUUUCUUGGUGAAAAUACCUAAUUUUCAGAGUAAUCAAAGCUGCAUCCUUACCACCAAUAAGCUUUAUUUAUUUAGCAUACCAUUUGUGGUCUAAACAACCUCCCUUUAAUGGGUAUGUCAGGCCCAAGAACAGCAAAGAUGGCAUCUGGAUGCAAUCUCAACAUAAAAUGAGCAUCACAUUUACUGUUUCCUGGUUAUUUAGCCCUCAGCAUGGAAAUCCAUCUUAAACAAUGACUGGGGGAUCUUUGAGCCUUGGUCUACAUGAUCUUUUUAUUAAACACCUAACCAGCAAUAUGCAGCUCGUGUUUCUGUAACUGAUCACUAUUGCUUUUAUGGCUUUAUUCUCUUGUUUAUUAACGCGACACAUAAAAUAUACUUGUUUUCUAAGUGAAAGCAACACAUUUAUUUUCUCCUGGUAAAAUCUUACAAGACCCUGUGAUACAUCCUGCCAUCCUUGAAUAUUGGGAAAGCAGGCUUAAGAUUUAUCCUGACACCAAAUCUCUCAUCAUAAUUAUGAACAAUUUCUAGCUCCAACUAUUGGAGACUUUACCCCCAUGCCUUGCCACUUCAUUUUAUCUUUGCGGAAACAUGAGAUUUCUCCCUCUUGCCAAAGUUUGGUUUAAGUGGACCUCAGACUUGCCUGAGGGAUAGUUUCUGGAGAAGCAUGGAGUUCUGGGAAGCCUCAGCCAUCUCUCAGGGGAAAAGCGUUGCUUAGUUUGUAAAAAGAAAAAAGAGAAACUUCUCUGCAGAGCUUAAGAACAUAAGCUGAACUGGGGGAAAGGCUGUUGGGGUGUGUUCUUAUCACAAAAAUGGCUUAUUCAGAUAAUACUUCUCAGCAGAGACCCCUAUGGUAUUUAAACAGAAGGAAAGCAUUUUGAUGCACUGAAGACGCUGAUAAAGAAGCCAUACAACAGCCAUUUCCUUGGCCAAAUCCGUUAUUCUAUAAACAUCCACACCAGAUAUAAAUAAUUUAAAUAUUGAAAAAAUAUAAAAAGCCUAUCUACCUACCUCUUGCUAAAAUAAAUUACUAAAACUUGAUGUAUUUGAGCAAACCAGUUAUCGCAGCACUAGGGAGAAAGAUGUAAAGCUGAACAGAAGUUCACCCCACUCCAUGCCCAUCCCAGCCCCCACUACAGUGAAUUUAAGCAAAUAUGACCUUGUAAUUCUCAGAUUUGAUUUCUUAAUCCAGGAGUUUUUAAUGCUUAUCAAGCCCUACAUCUCCUUUCUAUUAUGAAUAUUUCACAACAUAGCCAACAGUUUGAAAAACAUUAACAUGAUGACUUCACUACAAGAUAGAGGAGAAAUAGAGAAAAUUAACUUAAAAUAACAUUUUAAAAUAUAAGUGCUCAGGCAUGAUUACACUAGAAACAUACUGAUCUGUGCAUCCAUUUAUAUAAAAUCAUUGUUGAUUUUUGAAAAGUUAGAAUACACACAGAAUAUUGUUCAUUCCUUCACUUUCCAUUUGACGGUUUGAAAUAAGAACUAAGGACAAUCAUAUAUAUAUGCACAGAAUUACCGUGAGUCUGACAGCUACAAACUUAAACCAGUUCUCAAAGUGAAAUUUCCAUGAGUGGUGCUGUCAUUGUUGAUUGGUGAUAUGAUAUUCUGAAAUGGUGAACAAUGCUUGGUAAAACUCUGAAGGUAGUCAACUACAACCUAUCCUCUGUAGUUGCAGUCCUGGAAAAUAUAAUAAUACUAAAGCAUUGUCUAUAUAUCUAUAUCUAUAUCUAUCAAUCAUGUAGUCUAGGCUAUACAUAAAAUAAAUAUAUGCAGGUUUUCAACCACAUGAAUGUCCAGCAGGACAUCUGAAAGGCAUCCAGGACUCAGGAAAAUUUACUAUUUUCUGUGUCUACUUCACAUAUUGUAGGAUGCCUGCAACUUCCAGACUUGACUCAUUAAAUGACAGUAGUAUCUCCCCAGUUGUGACAACCUAAAUCACUCCCAAAGAUUUCUGAAAAGCCUUCUGAUAGUCAUAUUCCUUCUGAGAACCAAUGUCUGAUAGAAAUAUCAAGCCAACACUCUUCAACGCUUUCCCACAGAAUUUGUGCUGUGGUCCCCACAAGGGAUGCCCUAGUGUCACUUUCUUCCCGGAUACACCCUUUAUCCCUUAUAGAGCUCAUACAGUCCCUCACCUUCAACGUGGCCUGCCUUUAGCCUGCUGGCUGGACCAGAACUCUCCUACUUCUGAAUUCCCAUUACAUUGAUUAUUUCUAGGGUUCAUAUCAACAACUAAUUAUCUGCUAACCCAUGCUGAUAUUUAAAAGCCUUAUGAACAUACCUUAUUCUCCCAAAUCAACAGAAAAGCCCUUCAAAGAAGUCUUUUUAGUAUUUUCUAUCUCCAAAGUGCUAUGCAGGCACUGUGAGACCAAGGUUGAGUUAAUAAAGCUUAAAGUUUGAGGAAAUGGAUUCCAUACUUCUGGGAUGUAUGAAAAUGUAAAUGUGGAGCAAUCCAGACUGCAACUCAAGCUUCCAAGUCAUUUCUCCACCUAGAUGUAAUUCUCACUGUACAAAUUUACACCCACUCUCAUUCAGAUUGUCUAAUGGUGUUGCUCACACCCAUUUUGACCAUAUUUUUAUGACUUUCAGGAAUUAAAUCCAUCUACCUUUUCUAAAGCAGUAUUUCUCAAACUAUACUCUGUGUAUACUACCUGUGCAGAAUCGACUGGAGAUACCUGUUAAAAACAAAACAAAACCAAAACAAUACUGGAUGCUGUCCCCUGGAAUCCAUACUUUCAGAAACACUGCUCCGUCUAAUGUGUAUUCAACCAAUUAAGCUAAUUCCUUCAUCUUAAAAACCAUUCGCUAAUAUUUCCUGAAUGUGACUAGGCCUUUUUCAUUAAAUGGGGAAUCCAGUCAAAAUGAUAAGGCAGCCUCUAAAUCCAACCUUAUAAUCCUGCAGACCACAAACCUCAUGAAAACCAGGCAGGCCACAAGGGGUGGAAUUAUUCUGGUAGCUGACAUUUAGUGAUGCUGCCUAAUUGAUUUCAGGGCUUUGGCAUUUGCCAUUCGCCUGUUAGUUCAUCAAUAUUUUGACUAUGUCACUUAUCAUUUUGCUAGACAAGUUAUAUAUUUUAUUCCCUGAUAUGCUCAAAUACUAUGUGUGUGUGUGUGUGUGUGUGUGUGUGUGUUUAAGUAAAUUUGUGCCAAAAUUCCAUGAGGAGACAAUUGCGCAGGGGAAAAAAGUCAAGAAUGUGAAAUUCCCUGAAUUAUAUUUCUUCUGCUGGAUUUGAAACUCCAGGGGGCAAUGACUAUCUAUCCUCUUUACUCCUAUAUCCUCUUUCCCUUCUCGAGUCUGGCACAUAUUAAAUGAUCUCUAAGAAUGUAGAACUAUUAUUUGAUCCAGCAAUCCCACUGCUGGGCAUCUAUCCAAAGGAAAAAAUUAUUAUAUUCAAAAGAUACUUACAUAUAUUUGUUACAGCACUAAGUGCUGCAAUAUGGAACCAACCUUAUUGUCUAUCAAUGGAUAAUUGGAUAAAGAAAAUGUGGUGUGUGUGUAUAUAUAUACAUAAAUAGGGGGUGGGGAUGGGCAUGUGUGUGUGUGUGUGUGUAUAUAUAUAUAUAUAUAAUCAUUUUGCUAGACAAGUUCUAUAUUUUAUUCCCCGAUGUGCUCAAAUACUGUGUGUGUGUGUAUGUGUGUAUUUUUAAGUAAAUGUGUGCCAAAAUUCCAUGAGGAGACAAUUGCACAGGGGAAAAAGUCAAGAAUGUGAAAUUCCCUGAAUUAUAUUUCUUCUGUUGGAUUUGAAACUCCAGGGGGCAAUGACUAUCUAUGUAUCUAUCUAUCUAUCUAUCUAUCUAUCUAUCUAUCUAUCUAUAUACACACACGCUAUGGAAUACUCUUCAGCUGUAGAAAAGAAUGAAAUCAUGUCUUUGCAGAAUCAUGGAUGGACCUGGAGGUAAUUAUCUAAGUGAAACAAGUCGAACACAGAUAGACAAAUAUCACCUGUUCUUACUUAUAAGUGGAAGCUAAAUAAUGUAUACAUGUAGAUGUAGAAUGUGGAAUGAUAGGCAAUGGAGACUCAGAAGGGUGAGGGAGUGGAUGAUGAAAAAUUAUUUAACGAAUACAAUGUAAGUUAUUCGAGUGAUGGAUACUCUUUAUAAAAGUGUUGAUUUCACCACUAUGCAAUCUAUGCAAGUAACAAAAGUGUACUUAUACCCCAUAAAUUUAUUGAAAUUAAAAAAUAAAAAAUAAAAGGCAAAUGUAAGUAUGGUUUGUUAAAAAAUGUAUGGAAUGAAUGCAUCAUUCAUAUAAAAUAUACGGACUGAACACUCAACAUUAAUGAUGAGUGAUAAUUCAUUCAUUGGAUAAAUAUUUGUAAAUUUCCUACUGUGUAGAUUUAGCUCUGCAAUGCCACUGCCACUGUUCAUAAGAAGUUAAGCAUCUUAACUAUAACAACAGCUACAUUAAUAGAGUAUUUAAUCUGUCAGGUGCUAUUCUGUGUAUUUCACAGACAUUACUCAUUUAAUCCUCAGAAACCCCAAGGAGGCAGGCACCACUAUUCCCAUUUUGCAGAUAAGAAAGUUAAUUCUUAGAGAAGUGAAGUGUCUUUCCCCUUAUAAGCAGAAAAGGCAGAAUUCCAGCCUAGAUUUGUCUGCCUCCAAAGACUGUGCUCUUAACCACACCACCCUUCUAUUCUUAGUUGGAUGAUUGGAGGUGGGGUUACAAUAAAAGACAAUGAUCAAAGAACUUCGGGUCCCAGAGACAUACAUGAUGAAGUGUCAAGGGGCUAUUGGUAAGGGUACAAGGGAUGAAUUCAGAGCCAGGAGUGACAAUAGAAGGUGGCAAUGGAGGUAUAGGGGUUGAGGUCACUCUUGGAAGGAGAGUGGGGUAUCUCCUGUAAAAUGAGGCAUUCCAGGGAUGGAGGCUAAGGAGGAGGCAGCACUGUACCCUCCAAGCACACAGGUUGGAGUAGAAACCCAUGGAGAAGAAACAUACAGACUCAGGAGUAUAUGACUCAGGAGCUUGCAGGAGAUUUAGCUGGAAGCAAACCACACCAGGGAAGCCCACACAGCCCCCUGCAAUGAUGCCUCAGGAGUGUCCUGCAAACAACUCUCAUGUUCCUCACACAAGCCGGUCUCCUUUGUUCUCUAGCUCAGCCAACAAAACCCUGUGAGUCAUGCCCUGGCCCCCUCAUAUCUGUUCUUAGCCAGUUGUCUGCAGACACUCAGGAAGGAGGACAGAUGAAAGAUGAAAUUACCUAUCUGGGUUUCAGGGCAGGCUGGGCCAACUGUGAUAACUGAUAGGGAAAUCUCUGGAAUUCAGGUUCAGUUUGGAGAGUCACCAGGAAGUGGAUUACAGCUAAUGAGAGGUUAUAUGACUCAACUCCAGCACCAUGCGCAGGAACAGUGGGAACGGAGGCGAUGGCUAAUAUAGAACUACUCUCUUGGUGGGCUGGGAACACUUACCCGUGGUCCUCGUCUCUUCCUUGAGUCUAGGGAGCCAUGGCUGCCAUUUCUCCUUCCUGCCUCCUCCCCAGGAAGAAAUGGUCUUCAGCCUCCCCUCUCAGGCCUGUUUGAGAAACAGGAGUAGGAGACCCUGCAUAGGUAUCAUGACUGUGUAGGUUUGUGAGCCCUUGUCAGGCUCUGCGCAACAAGUUGAAUUCCUUGCUCACCAAGAAGUAACACUUAUCCUCUAGUAAAAAAAAAAAAAUUGAGACAGAGUCUCGCUCUGUCACUCAGGCUGGAGUGCAGUGGCGCGAUCUCAGCUCACUGCAACCUCCGCCUCCUGGGUUCAAGAGAUUCUCUAUUGCCUCAGCCUCCUGAGUAGCUGGGACUACAGGCACCUGCCACUACACCCAGCUAAAUUUUGUAUUUUUAGCAGAGACAGGUUUCACCAUGUUGGCCAGGCUGGUCUCGAACUCCUGACCUCAAGUAAUCCACCUGCCUCAGCCUCCCAAAGUGCUGGGAUUACAGGUGUGAACCGUCACACCCAGCCCUCUAGUAAAAUUCUUUAAGUGAAAUUUAACAUAAGAUGGAAUGAUAAAUGCCCAGGGGAAAGACACCAAACCUAUAUGCCAGACCCAGUGCUAAACACUUUACCUGGAACCAUCUAGUAUAAUCAUGAUUAUAACAACCCUACAAGGCAGGUGCCACGAUCAUUCUUAUUUACAGAUGAGAGAACUGAGGCAGAGCAAGGAUAAGCACAUCUGAUUCUGCUACAAUGCACGUUUGUUCCAACAUGGUUGAUGUGUGUUAUGAGCCACGCCAUCCUCAACUGGUGCUACAACUUUCCCUAGGAUUCCAGAUAACCAGCUCCUGCCACUUCACAGUAGCUGGCAAGUUGCAACCCUUUCCACCUCACUUCCAUAGGCAAACCCUAGGUCUUUUUCCAGGCGGAGUGCCAUAUUUAUUGUUGUAUUUAUGUUAUUUUUUAGCAAUUUAUCAAGUGUAAAGUUGUCUACUGGUUUUUUUUUAGUGUCAAAUUAAAUUUGGCCUAAAGCUGUCUCCAUAUCUUGAGUCCAUAUGUAUCAAAACGCAACCUAACUUACAAGUAUAUUCUUGUGACAAAUAGCUGAGUCUCAGCCCAUCAUAGCGGCUGAGCUUCAGCCAAUUACAGGCUGCCAAAUGAUCACACCAUGUCAAAUAAGGCAAACUACCAAACUAUAACAAAUCAGGCUAUUGUUACACCUCACUUCCUUACUCUGUCUAUAAAUACUGACUGCCCCCCACAUGGCUGCAUGAAGCCUUCUCAAGCUCUCCUGUGUAACAAGUCAAAUCCCUUGCUCACCAAGAAGUAACACUCAUUGUCUAGUAAAAUUACUUAAGUCAAAUUUUGGGGGCUUCCCAAUUCAUGAAUCAUUCUUUGCUGAAAUAAACUCUACUAAAUUUAAUUUAUCUAAACUUUUUCUUUUAACAUUAGGUUUCUAUCUUUUUUUUUUUAACAUGUCAUUGAAAAAGUGGUUUUGUGUUGUGCCCUGAGCCCCAUUUUCCUCAUAAGCUCUGUGGUUUGUAUUGCCCAAUUUAGCAUAAUGCAGUGAUUUUAUGGAACAUACAUGUUGUGUUAAAGAAUAGCUAUUUGCCAAGGUUACGUGGCUAGGUAGUGGCCCAGCAGGGAUUCAAACAAAACUUGCUAGGGAACCCAGCCUAGCUUCUUAAUCUCUGUAUCUUCCUGCAUUGGUACACAUGUUCUCUUUUAAUCUUCACAGCAUCCUUAAGAGGUCUUAUUAUUCCUAUUACACAGUUGAAGAAAUUGGGAUUCAGAAAUUACUACUAAAAGCUUCAAUGGAAUUAACCAAACAUGGUAACUGAAAUUUACAGUCAAGUCUGUUUACUUCUGAAGCACUUACCCAAACCAGGACUUCAGCAGUCUGUAUAAAUAGUAAGGGUUUGUGCUAAAGGGAUAAUGCCACAGGUCUACGCAUAUCUUCAUUGACAGUUACCAAUUCAGCUCUUCUUGACUGGGUAAAGAAUGAGUCCUCGACAUCUAGAGCCAUUAUCUGAACUAUUUAUCCAUUCCCUUGCUUCUUUGCUGUUGCUUUUGUUCAUUCAUCCUGUCCUUCAUCAAGUAUUGAGUCCACAGAUAUCAUAUACCUAACGUUUAGAUCUUAAGUAUUGCUUUAGAGUUGCCUUCUAUAAUUCAUGCCCCACCCGAUCAAGUAGAAGGUUCUUUUAUUAAUAGCACCCUUUGUCUCCCUUCCCCAGUACUUACCACUAGCAAUGAUGGUAUGAUUAUUUGUAAAGAGUUCUUGAUGAUCUUCCCCACUGUGAUGGUACAUUCAACGAGAACAGAACACGUCAGCAUCCAGUGCCAUAACCUGACAAAUAGUAGCUGCUCAAUAAAUCCUUGACUGUUUUACCAAUGACCUUAGAUCUGGCACUGAUAGAAAAAGAAGCCCACAGAACAUCUUCAACCUAGACAAGUGCCUCUUCAACAAAUAAAGUUUUAAAGGUUAUUGAAAUUCUUGAGCUAGAAGGAUAUAUCCCUGCAGUGAGUUCAAGGAAGGACUGUAAAGAAAAAGUAGCUGACAGACAGAAAACUGAUCCACAACAACUUCUAUAAACGGACCAUGAAAUAAUCAGGUUCCUUGGUCUUUUAUUUGUUUCUGGAUGGAGUCCCAGGCAGGGAAGAUAACCUUCACCUCAGAACAAUGUGGCGCAUCAUCUGUAAAUGUAAUGAGAUGAUGAAUUAUUCCAAUGUCAUUAUGCUCAUGAUUUAUGGGGAGACAUUAUCUGCUAAAAGCCCAGGCUGAAGGAAUAUUGAUUUCACUUUUACUGAGACAGCCAUUUAAAACUUUUUAAAGACAGCAAAUGAUUGCUUAAAAGACCAACUUCAAAAAGGCCACUUUCAAACUGUUCGGUGGGGAGUGGUGGGGAAGCGGAAAUGGUGAUGCAGCUCCUUUAAGACCCAGCUGAGCAAAGUUAGGUCCUCCUGCUCUAUAUUCUCCAGCAACACCUUGUACUUCUUCUUUGCAGCACUUGGCUGCAUGCACAGGAUUUAAUACCAGAUUAUUCUUUAGAAACCUUACAUGUUCAAAGCUGAAUUCUAUUUUGUCUGGGGAAAUCAUUUUCUGUCCUUUAUCCCAAUUUACUUUGAAAUCCAGGCCAGGUGCAGUGGCUCACACCUGUAAUCCCAGCACUUUGGGAGGCUGAGGCAGGUGGAUCACCUGAGGUCAGGAGUUUGAGACCAGUCUUGCCAACAUGUUGAAACCCCGUCUCUACUAAAACUACAAAAAUUAGCCAGGCGUGAUGGCGGGCACCUGUAAUCCCAGCUACUCGGGAGGCUGACGUAGGAGAAUCGCUUGAACCUGGGAUGCAGAGGUUGCAGUGAGCCAAGAUUGCAUCUCUGCAUUCCAGCCUGGGUGACAGAGUAAAACUCCAUCUCAAAAAAAAAAAGAGAGAGAGAGAGAGAGAAAUCCAGAGGCAGCAGGUUGGUGCUAUUUGGUAGUAGUAGUGGUGGUGAUAGAGAAUUCUUUCUCACUUAGAUGAAAUAACACUAUUUUCUAAAUCACAUACUCUUAUGCUGAUAACCAAUUAGGCUUCCCCUAGAAUACAGAAAGACCGUACAUAGUGAAUUUUUUAAAAGGGAGAAAUGACAAUAUGGAACAGGGUGGUAGAUUUGGAUCCAUGCUAGUGAACUGGAAGAAAUAUUUUUUCUGUAGCAUUUUAUACUCUACGGCUUGGUUUUCUAACACACAAAAGGAUGGAUGGAAAUUAAUAUGUCAGGCACUUAGUAACCAUAUUUAUUUAAUCCUCCCAACAAGUUUUCAGAAUAGCACUGAUUGUCUUGUUUCAUAGAUAAGGAAACUGAGGCCUGGGGAUGGUAAGUCCAAGUUUAUAAUAAUGGUUGGCAGUACCUGAAUUUGAACCAAUGGCUCCUAUUUCUUUUUUCUUUCUUUCUU